rnacentral:rRNA from 1 species
AUACGGAGGGUGCAAGCGUUGUUCGGAAUCACUGGGCGUAAAGCGCGUGCAGGCGGCCCAUUAAGUCAGAUGUGAAAGCCCUCGGCUCAACCAAGGAACUGCAUCUGAAACUACUGGGCUUGAGUACGGGAGAGGAGAGUGGAAUUCCCGGUGUAGAGGUGAAAUUCGUAGAUAUCGGGAAGAACACCGGUGGCGAAGGCGGCUCUCUGGACCGAUACUGACGCUGAGACGCGAAAGCGUGGGGAGCAAACAGGAUUAGAAACCCGGGUAGUCC